AGAGGUGUAGUUCAGUGAUAGAACAUUUGCCUAGCCUACACAAGACCCUGGGUUCAAUCCCUAGCACUGCAA
rnacentral:tRNA from 1 species